UAUUUAUUAGAUAACAGACCAAUAUUCCUCGUGUCUAUUGUGGUGACUCAUAGUAACUGAUCGGAUCGCAUGGCCUUGUGCCGCGACUAACCAUUCAAGUUUCUGACCCAUCAGCUUUCGAUGGUAGUGUAUUGGACUACCAUGGCUUUCACGGGUAACGGAGGAUUAGGGUUCGAUUCCGGAGAGGGAGCCUGAGAAACGGCUACCACAUCUAAGGAAGGCAGCAGGCGCGUAAAUUACCCAAUCCUGACUCAGGGAGGUAGUGACAAGAAAUAACGGGUCGGGGCAUUCGCCUCGGGAUUGCAAUGAAUCGAAUUUACACCCCUUAAUGAGGAUCAAUUGGAGGGCAAGUCUGGUGCCAGUAGCCGCGGUAAUUCCAGCUCCAAUAGCGUAUAUUAAAGUUGUUGCAGUUAAAAAGCUCGUAGUUUGAUUUCUGGACGGGCGCCAACACCCGCUUGUUUAGUGUGGAGGCGGCGCCCGCCCAUCCUUCUGUUAACGCCACCGGCAUUCGUUUGCUGGCGGCGGGCUCAGAUAUUUUACCUUGAGAAAAUUAGAGUGUUUCAGGCAGGCUUGCGC
rnacentral:rRNA from 1 species